GCGCUCGCUGCACGCAACACCACACGUGACGCUCUUUGGUCGGACCCGUAGUGGCCAUCAGGACUGGUGGUGUUAAUACUCAGGGGAGUGUGGCGAUGCCAGGAUGUUCCUAACCACUUACAAGAUGUCCCUGCUAAUGUCUCCAACAUCUGUCGUCUCUGGAGCCAAGUGUUCAACAUCUCUACGCAACUUUAACCACACAGCAUACGGACGAGCAGAAGACGAACAAGGCGUGGGGCGCAGGCGCCGUUCAUCCGUGACCACCAGCAGCUCAGCACAACAAUCAAGGAGGACGUGGACUUGGGCAAGGCAAUUUAAAGGACAUUAGACCAAGGGUCUCCGACUAGAUGUUAUUUUGCGGCCCCCACAUUAAUAUGAAAGUUUAACGUUAGUGCGGCCCGCAAGUUUUAUAUGAAUGGCGCUUGACAGCUUUGUGUUAUUUGGGUCCAAAGUGGCUCUUUCAACGUUCGGGGAUGCCUACCCCUGCGUUAGUGGAAAAGCGGCAAAUGAGUGAAAGCGAAAGAAACGUUGCCAUGGAGACGAGGGUUUUCUUAAGUGCCUGGCUGCAGUCACACCGCGACACCUGUCCGUCAGUAAUAACAGUCCCCGAUAACCUGGACCAAUUCAAACCGUUAUUUGUUUUUUUUUAUUGUUAGAUUUGCAUUGCCUCACACGAUGAACACUACAUAUAUUUCUAUAUUACGCCAGAUAACACUCCGGGAGCCAUCACUUUUUUGUGCUCGCUAUCCCGGUACUUUCCCGGCUGUUAUCCGCCGACCACCGUGUUGCUGUAGGGAGGAAAAGCGUAACGACACACAUUGCGGAAAUAACAUUAUUCUCCGAGCAUCGGCUAAAUACAAAUAUAUCCCACAACCCCAAACAUGUCUUUUUCAAAGCUACAGUGAAGAGAAGUGUUAGCGAUGGGCACAAUUCCAGGAAAAGUAGGGGAUGCAAUGUUUUUUUGUUGAGCACAGGGGCACCCCGACGUGUCUUAUUUGCACAGAGAGCGGGAUACAAUUUGAAACGUCAAUAUACAACUAGACAUGCUGAGAAUGCAACUUUUAAAAAAAAAUAUUCUCUUUCGGCCCAGCCUCACCCAGACUCUGCAUCCAUUGGCCCCUAGGUAAAUUGAGUUUGAGACCCAUGCAUUAGACCAAAAAUAAAUGACACAAAACAUUUAUAAAAACCCAAGGUAUUUUUAU